AACGCGAAGAACCUUACCUGGGCUCGAACGGCUUCCCAACGGCUGUAGAAAUAUAGCUACCCCGCAAGGGGGUGGAGUCGAGGUGCUGCAUGGCUGUCGUCAGCUCGUGUCGUGAGAUGUUGGGUUAAGUCCCGCAACGAGCGCAACCCUUGUCCUGUGUUGCCAUACCGAAAGGUGGAACUCGCAGGAGACCGCCAGGGAUAACCUGGAGGAAGGUGGGGAUGACGUCAAGUCCUCAUGGCCUUUAUGUCCAGGGCUACACACGUGCUACAAUGGACGGUACAAAGCGUCGCUAACCUGCGAAGGGGAGCCAAUCGCAAAAAACCGUUCUCAGUUCGGAUUGCAGGCUGCAACUCGCCUGCAUGAAGCUGGAAUCGCUAGUAAUGGCAGAUCAGCACGCUGCCGUGAAUACGUUCCCGGGCCUUGUACACACCGACGCAC
rnacentral:rRNA from 1 species